AGCGAACGCUGGCGGCGUGCCUAACACAUGCAAGUCGAACGUGAAAGGGAGCAAUCCCAAGUAAAGUGGCGUACGGGUGAGUAACACGUAGGUAAUCUACCCCAGAAUCUGGAAUAACCGGCCGAAAGGCUGGCUAAUACUGGAUAGAGCGACGGAAUCCGUAAUUGGGUUUUUCGGGAAAGGGAGCCUGUAAAAAGGCCUUCGUUCUGGGAUGAGCCUGCGUCCCAUCAGCUAGUUGGUGAGGUAAAAGCUUACCAAGGCAAUGACGGGUAGCUGGUCUGGGAAGACGAUCAGCCACACUGGAACUGAAACACGGUCCAGACUCCUACGGGAGGCAGCAGUGGGGAAUCUUGCGCAAUGGACGGAAGUCUGACGCAGCAACGCCGCGGGGGGGAAGAAGGCCUUCGGGUUGUAAAGCUCUGUCGGGUGGGGCGAAAAUGCUUGGAGUUCACAGCUCCAGGAACUGACGGUACCACUAAAGGAAGCACCGGCUAACUCCGUG
rnacentral:rRNA from 1 species